AAGCUGCGUUAAAGCGCUCAGGGAAAGCCCGCGCCCAGCAUCCAUCGGGCUGCAGACUUUGGCAAGGGGGCGAAGAAGCCCGGGUGUAAGCGCAGCAGGACUGCGUCUGAAACUCGGCAUCAGGCUGCUAAGUGAGCCCAGGGCUCGGGCUGGGGCAGCGGGCGGCCAAGCAAGCAUCCCACCCCAUUUAUUUGUCAAAAACCG
rnacentral:lncRNA from 1 species